rnacentral:rRNA from 1 species
AGAGUUUGAUCCUGGCUCAGAACGAACGCUGGCGGCGCGUAUUAAGCAUGCAAGUCGAACGGGAUCCUUGGGGGGCAACCCCUGAGGAGAGAGUGGCGAACGGGUGAGUAACACGUAGGUGAUCUAUCCCUGGGUGGGGUAUAGCCCAUGGAAACAUGGGGUAAUACCGCAUGAGGUUCUCGAGUUUUGGCUUGGGGAUAAAAGGCGCAAUUGUGUUGCCUGGGGAUGAGCCUGCGGCUCAUUAGCUAGUUGGUGGGGUAAGGGCCCACCAAGGCGACGAUGGGUAGCCGGCCUGAGAGGGUGUACGGCCACACUGGGACUGAGACACGGCCCAGACUCCUACGGGAGGCAGCAGCUAAGAAUCUUCCGCAAUGGGGGAAACCCUGACGGAGCGACGCCGCGUGGACGAAGAAGGCCGCAAGGUUGUAAAGCCCUUUUGCAGGCGAAGAAUAAGCAGGGGAGUGGAACGCUCCUGCGAUGACGUUAGUCUGCGAAUAAGCCCCGGCCAAUUACGUGCCAGCAGCCGCGGUAACACGUAUGGGGCGAGCGUUGUUCGGAAUUACUGGGCAUAAAGGGCGUGUAGGCGGUUCGGGAAGCCUGGCGUGAAAGGCACCGGCUCAACCGGUGGAUGGCGCUGGGAACUGUCGGACUGGAGUUCUGGAGGGGGAGCUGGAAUUCCUGGUGUAGGGGUGAAAUCUGUAGAGAUCAGGAAGAACACCGGUGGCGAAGGCGAGCUCCUGGCCAGUGACUGACGCUGAGGCGCGAAAGCGUGGGGGAGCAAACAGGAUUAGAUACCCUGG